rnacentral:rRNA from 1 species
GAUGAACGCUGGCGGCGUGCCUAAUACAUGCAAGUCGAGCGAACGGACGAGAAGCUUGCUUCUCUGAUGUUAGCGGCGGACGGGUGAGUAACACGUGGAUAACCUACCUAUAAGACUGGGAUAACUUCGGGAAACCGGAGCUAAUACCGGAUAAUAUUUUGAACCGCAUGGUUCAAAAGUGAAAGACGGUCUUGCUGUCACUUAUAGAUGGAUCCGCGCUGCAUUAGCUAGUUGGUAAGGUAACGGCUUACCAAGGCAACGAUGCAUAGCCGACCUGAGAGAGAGAACGGCCACACGGGAACUGAGACACGGGCAAGACUACUAAGGGAGGCAGCAGUAGGGAAUCUUCCGCAAUUGGCGAAAGCCUGACGGAGCAAAGCCGAGUGAGUGAUGAAGGUCUUCGGAUCGUAAAACUCUGUUAUUAGGGAAGAACAUAUGUGUAAGUAACUGUGCACAUCUUGACGGUACCUAAUCAGAAAGCCACGGCUAACUACGUG